AGCAUAUUCAUUUUGACGUUUAGCUGCAGAAGAAGCACCGGCUAACUCCGUGCCAGCAGCCGCGGUAAUACGGAGGGUGCGAGCGUUAAUCGGAAUUACUGGGCGUAAAGCGCAUGCAGGUGGUUUGUUAAGUCAGAUGUGAAAGCCCGGGGCUCAACCUCGGAAUUGCAUUUGAAACUGGCAAACUAGAGUACUGUAGAGGGGGUAGAAUUUCAGGUGUAGCGGUGAAAUGCGUAGAGAUCUGAAGGAAUACCGGUGGCGAAGGCGGCCCCCUGGACAGAUACUGACACUCAGAUGCGAAAGCGUGGGGAGCAAACAGGAUUAGAUACCCUGGUAG
rnacentral:rRNA from 1 species